GGAAGGAAGACUAUCAAUCAAUAUUGUAGUAAUUGUUAUUUUAUUAUAGUAUAUUCAAUAUUGUUAUAAACAUGAUGGUGAUGGACAAAAGCAUCUGCCAAAUACCGUACCUCUAAGAGGAAUAUGUCAGGUCUGUGCCCUGUCCUUGUCCUGUUUCUUAGUUUGUGUCCCUUGUGUUGUCACGUGUUCUUUGUUCCUGUGUUUGUUUACCUUUUCUCCUCGUGUCUGACUCCUCACGCCCUGCCCUUGAUUAUCUGGCGUUCUCGUCAUUUCAUGUUACGCGUUUGUUCAUUGUGUUUUUCCCCGUGUUCCUAGCGAUAGUUAAAUAUUUCAUGUUUAUUAAGUUUCUCGUGUUUCCGACCCUGGACUGUACAUCGACUAUUCUCCUGCCUAUGCCCUGUUUUGGAUUUGUUUGCUUGCUCUCGGACUGCCUACCUGUGUACCGAAUCCUGCUAAGUAACACGAUUACCCUUCACUCUACUGCUGCGUUCUGAGUCGUGCAUUUGAGUUCACCCGCAAUUCGUAACAGAAUAUGGAUCAUGUACAAUAUCUAUUCCACUGUGCACUGUCUAUUUGACAGGAUAAGGAUCAUCUCAUCUCAUCUCAUCUCAUCUCAUCCAGAGGCUGACACCAGAACAGAUCCUGCUCUGGUCUGGUGCUAAUCUGCUGGGUCUGAGGUUCUGUUCACUCCUCUGAGGUUCUGCUCUGAGGUUCUGUUCAUUCCUGUGAGGUUCUUCUCAUUACUCUGAGGUUCUGUUCUGUUCACUCCUCUGAGGUUCUGUUCAUUCCUCUGAGGUUCUGUUCUGCUCAAUGUCAGCUCAUUCCUCUGUCCCAGAGCCUGUGAAGGAGCCCUGUGCUGCUGAUAGUGGGCUGUCUGCUGUCGCUGGGGAGAGCAACGCAAACAAUCACUUUUUUGUCUGCACCCUUCUCUUUUCUUCUCCUCCUCUUCUCUUCUCCUCCGUGAUGCCACUCUGUCUGUUCUUCUCCUCCGUGAUGCCACUCUGUCCAAUCUAAUAUCUCUUCAUCUCCAAGCUCCUCCGUGAUGCCACUCUGUCCAAUCUAAUAUCUCUUCAGCUCCAAGCUCAUGAUUCUAUUCUAUCUGAUGGGCCCAGGUAUUCUUCAGCAUUCCAAAGACACUGAUGUGACGGUACCCACGCGGGGUGGCGUGUCUGUCCUCUCUGAUGUCUUUGGUGAUGUGACGGUACCUGUUGCAGGGGUGACGUGUCUGUCCUCUCUGAUGUCUUUGGCCUGGCCUGUGUGAGAUGUGACCUGUGAAGUGUGACCUCAGAACAGCUAACAGCUAAGCUAACUUGGGGGCGAGGCACACCACGCUGCCCAGGAGGACAGGCCCAGAUGGAGGCAGGUAGUUGCGGCCUCAUGUUCCACUGGGGACGAAGAGGUUUAAGUAAGAAGGGGUCUGAGUGGUGCUGGGGACUGGACAGAGCUGGUCUCCUCUCCAUCACUCUCAUUAGGUCAGCAGUGACAAGAUGCUUGCAGUGGUGGCAGAGUGGAAGACAUGAAGGGUUGCCAAACAGUCAACACAAUGACCUACGUGAACUAAAUGCUUUUCGUCACACAUGGUGAUCUUUGGAGCAGUCCAGCCUUGGAUAGUUGGACUCUAGGCUGGGGGGUGCUGCACAGAGUCAGAGACUAACUGGGCUUGGCUGUGGGCUUUCUAGAACCUUCUGACCGGUCUGAACCGGAUGAGUCUCACUGAGGAAGUCUUUCCCAGGUGAUUGUGCCUGGAGAGAGAGCGUCCAGGAUCUACUCACACAUCUUACAUAAAUAAUUACUCACGUCAGUAGUCAUGUACUCUUUGAAACAUGUGAACACGCAAACACACACACACACACACACACAGGUGAAACAAGAUUGAUGCAUCACCUGCACAAAAUAAUGACAAGAACAUAUGGUGUCAGCUGUGCUGGCAGCGGUUUGACAGAAGCCCAAUUCAAGGCCUCUUACCUGAUUAAAACAGUUUGUUUUAUGGAUGCAUCAGUCAAAGUCCUGCGACACACCGGUGCUGGACCUUAGUGUCAGAACCAGGUAAGUGCUGCAGAAUAAUCCAUCCUGUGUGAAAGACUGAAACAGCAAAACUGCCAUCUCUGACAAAAACAUAUUCAAGCCUGUC
ensembl:lncRNA